AGAGUUUGAUCAUGGCUCAGAACGAACGCUGGCGGCAUGCCUAACACAUGCAAGUCGAACGAGACCUUCGGGUCUAGUGGCGCACGGGUGCGUAACGCGUGGGAAUCUGCCCUUGGGUUCGGGAUAACAGUUGGAAACGACUGCUAAUACCGGAUGAUGACUUCGGUCCAAAGAUUUAUCGCCCAGGGAUGAGCCCGCGUAGGAUUAGCUAGUUGGUGAGGUAAAGGCUCACCAAGGCGACGAUCCUUAGCUGGUCUGAGAGGAUGAUCAGCCACACUGGGACUGAGACACGGCCCAGACUCCUACGGGAGGCAGCAGUGGGGAAUAUUGGACAAUGGGCGAAAGCCUGAUCCAGCAAUGCCGCGUGAGUGAUGAAGGCCUUAGGGUUGUAAAGCUCUUUUACCCGGGAUGAUAAUGACAGUACCGGGAGAAUAAGCCCCGGCUAACUCCGUGCCAGCAGCCGCGGUAAUACGGAGGGGGCUAGCGUUGUUCGGAAUUACUGGGCGUAAAGCGUACGUAGGCGGCUUUGUAAGUUAGAGGUGAAAGCCCAGAGCUCAACUCUGGAAUUGCCUUUAAGACUGCAUCGCUUGAAUCGUGGAGAGGUUAGUGGAAUUCCGAGUGUAGAGGUGAAAUUCGUAGAUAUUCGGAAGAACACCAGUGGCGAAGGCGACUAACUGGACACGUAUUGACGCUGAGGUACGAAAGCGUGGGGAGCAAACAGGAUUAGAUACCCUAGUAGUCC
rnacentral:rRNA from 1 species